UCCCUGGUGGCUCAGAUGGUAAAAGCACCUGCCUAUAAUGCAGGAGACCUGGGUUCAAUCCCUGGGAUGGGAA
rnacentral:tRNA from 1 species